rnacentral:rRNA from 1 species
GUAGGGAAUCUUCCACAAUGGACGAAAGUCUGAUGGAGCAACGCCGCGUGAGUGAAGAAGGUCUUCGGAUCGUAAAACUCUGUUGUUAGAGAAGAACGUGCAUGAUAGUAACUGAUCAUGUAAUGACGGUAUCUAACCAGAAAGCCACGGCUAACUACGUGCCAGCAGCCGCGGUAAUACGUAGGUGGCAAGCGUUGUCCGGAUUUAUUGGGCGUAAAGGGAACGCAGGCGGAUUUUUAAGUCUGAUGUGAAAGCCUUCGGCUUAACCGAAGAAUAGCAUUAGAAACUGGAAGACUUGAGUGCAGAAGAGGAGGGUGGAAUUACAUGUGUAGCGGUGAAAUGCGUAGAUAUAUGGAGGAACCCCAGUGGCGAAAGCGGCUCUCUGGUCUGUAACUGACGCUGAGGUUCGAAAGCGUGGGUAGCAAACAGGAUUAGAAACCCGGGUAGUCC